UCAAAGGAAUUGACGGGGACCCGCACAAGCAGCGGAGCGUGUGGUUUAAUUCGCUGCUACACGAAGAACCUUACCUGGGUUUGACAUAUAAGUUGUAGGGAACUGAAAAGGGACCGACCCUUCGGGGAGCUUAUACAGGUGUUGCAUGGCUGUCGUCAGCUCGUGUCGUGAGAUGUUCGGUUAAGUCCGCUAACGAGCGCAACCCUCGCCGUAUGUUACAAGUGUCAUACGGGACUGCCGGUAAAAGCCGGAGGAAGGUGAGGAUGAUGUCAAGUCAGCAUGACCUUUAUAUCCAGGGCUACACACACGCUACAAUGGUCUGUACAAUUGGUUGCCAAGCCGCGAGGCGGAGCCAAUCCGUAAAGCAGGCCUCAGUUCAGAUUGCAGUCUGCAACUCGACUGCAUGAAGCCGGAGUUGCUAGUAACCGCAGGUCAGCAAUACUGCGGUGAAUACGUUCCCGGGUCUU
rnacentral:rRNA from 1 species